GGCGGUUCUUGGGUGAUGCACCCCGGAAUCAGGCUCCCUCCUCUCCGGUUCAUGGUGCGUCACCCAAGAACCACA
rfam:Myotis lucifugus cont2.14147, whole genome shotgun sequence.